UACGGAGGGUGCAAACGUUGCUCGGAAUUAUUGGGCGUAAAGCGCACGUAGGCGGUCCAGCAAGUCGGGUGUGAAAGCCCUCGGCUUAACCGAGGAAGUGCAUUCGAAACUACUGGACUUGAAUACUGAAGAGGAUCGCGGAAUUCCCGGUGUAGAGGUGAAAUUCGUAGAUAUCAGGAGGAACACCGGUGGCGAAGGCGGGUCUCUGGGCCGAUACUGACGCUGAGGAGCGAAAGCGUGGGGAGCGAACAGG
rnacentral:rRNA from 1 species